GACGUAGGUGGCAAGCGUUGUCCGGAUUUACUGGGCGUAAAGAGCGCGCAGGCGGUCGUUCAAGCCGCGUGUGAAAGCCCCCGGCUCAACUGGGGAGGGUCACGCGAUACUGAUCGACUCGAAGGCAGGAGAGGGAAGUGGAAUUCCCGGUGUAGUGGUGAAAUGCGUAGAUAUCGGGAGGAACACCAGUGGCGAAGGCGACUUCCUGGCCUGUUCUUGACGCUGAGGCGCGAAAGCUAGGGGAGCAAACGGG
rnacentral:rRNA from 1 species